UACGUAGGGGGCAAGCGUUAUCCGGAUUUACUGGGUGUAAAGGGAGCGUAGACGGCAGUGCAAGUCUGGAGUGAAAGGCGGGGGCUCAACCCCCGGACUGCUCUGGAAACUGUACGGCUGGAGUGCAGGAGAGGCAAGUGGAAUUCCUAGUGUAGCGGUGAAAUGCGUAGAUAUUAGGAGGAACACCAGUGGCGAAGGCGGCUUACUGGACUGUAACUGACGUUGAGGCUCGAAAGCGUGGGGAGCAAACAGG
rnacentral:rRNA from 1 species